AUGUGUGGCCAUGAAAAUGAAACGUUAUUUCAUUCUUUGAUGGAGUGUGACCAUGUUAGUCGCUUCUGGGAGGCGGCUGAGCAUUUCUUUGAUAUAGACAAGCCGAGGCUACAUCCAAUUACUUGGUCGCGGGAUUUACUGGACCAUAGCAUGAUAAAGAAAGAGGUGGCGGCAAUUAUGAUCACAGUGAUGUGGGCGGUGUGACAUUCUCGAAAUAGCUACACACAUGGAGAGCAGGAGUAUCAACCAGUGCAGUCCAUGGUUACUAUAGAGGAGAUUGUCCGAGCUCUAGAAGUUCCAGCAAACGGUAGACCUCAACCUACUGUCCAACCAAGAUGGCAGCCACCGGUUGAUGGAUGGGUGAAAAUCAAUACAGAUGGGGCUACGGACUCGGAGCAUGGCAGAGGUGGAGCGGGUUUUGUCGUCCGAAACCACCAGGGGUCGUUCAUGAGAGCGGGGUGUUCACGCUACGACGGAGUUACUGACCCCCUCACGAUCGAGAUCCUCGCUUGCAGGGAUGCGCUAGCGACAGCGCAUGACUUAGGGCUUCAGUAUGUUGAGGUUGAGACGGACUGUCAACAAAUUCAGAGCCUAUGGGAAGCUCCACAGAAGUCAAAUUGUUUUCAUCUCUUCAGAGAGAUGCAGGAUAUGAGUAAUCUUUUCCAGGGAUUCAAGUUACGGUUCGCUAGUCAUCGUUCAAAUUCGGCAGCCCACCGUGUAGCUAGGCAUGCUUUAAAGCUUUCUGUAUCUAUGCUUGUGUAUGAUGUAAUCCCUGGAUGGCUGACUGAAACUAUACAGUCAGGCAUGCUAGCGCCUAAUGAAUAA
rnacentral:rRNA from 1 species